GGACCUGUCAAAUCAGUGAGCAGCUGCUCUUGAUCAUUGUCACAAUGCUACACCGUGUUACAAGUUCAGAACGAGAAAGUGUAGGCUAUUUAGAAAUAAUGACGACCAAAUUGAAAGGCAUUCAAUGAAAUUAGGAUUUCUAUCAGCCUAAUUGAGGUGUAUAGGUGGUGAGCCGUAAGCAAGCUAUCUGCAUGAGUUUUCGAGAUGAUAGAACUCUGAGGAGCUGUUUUUUUUUGCCUGUUUUUUAAAAACAUAUUGUGUAUUUUUAUUUCUUCUGAAAACAUUUACGUUUCUUGGCCAUGUCAAUUCUUGCAAAUUUUCACAAAAUACUGACUUUCAUGUUCGCUAGCUGGACAGGCAAACGCCGCGGAGAACUAAACUGUAAACCAAUCAAAACGUGUGUACUAUUCAUGGUACGAUCUACAAUCACGUUAUCCGUAACUAAUGUAGAGACAGCUGGUAAUGAAGAGUUCGACAGAGAUCUCCCUCUGACACAGAUUGACAUGAGGAUGUUAGCUUCUUGCUAUCUGAAUACCAGUGCUCUCAGAACCACGUUGUGAAGUUGAUGAUAACAUUAUUUGAAUUUAUGGGUGAGAUGAGGAUCUUCUGUUCCAUGUGGGGUUAGUGCAUCACCUGGACAGUGUGUUUAAAGCAGAGCCACUACAGUUUAUGCAUUUCACUUUGUACUUAUUGUACUCCGAUUGUACACUUAACUAACAGAUUUAUUUCACUUGAUUGUGAUUUGGACUGAACAUUACUUUAUGGUGACUUCAUCUUGUGGUGAUUUCCCUUCUACAUUAUCCUAUUUUAAGUUUCGAAAGAAUAAACAACCCCAAAUUAGUUUGUCUUGUGCUGGGUUUACUUUCGCCAGGCUACAUUUAUAUACUGCUUAAGACACCUUUGCUAUUUGUCUCUGUACUCAAUAAACGGCGCUUCAUUA